UACAGAGGGUGCAAGCGUUAAUCGGAAUUACUGGGCGUAAAGCGUGCGUAGACGGUUACAUAAGUCGGGUGUGAAAGCCCCGGGCUCAACCUGGGAAUUGCAUUCGAGACUGCGUAGCUAGGGUGCGGAAGAGGGAAGCGGAAUUUCCGGUGUAGCGGUGGAAAUGACGUAGAUAUCGGAAGGAACACCAGUGGCGAAAGCGGCUUCCUGGUCCAGCACCGACGUCAGGCACGAAAGCGUGGGGAGCAAACAGG
rnacentral:rRNA from 1 species